GGUUAAGCGACUAAGCGUACACGGUGGAUGCCCUGGCAGUCAGAGGCGAUGAAGGACGUGCUAAUCUGCGAUAAGCGUCGGUGAGGUGAUAUGAACCGUUAUAACCGGCGAUUUCCGAAUGGGGAAACCCAGUGUGUUUCGACACACUAUCAUUAACUGAAUCCAUAGGUUAAUGAGGCGAACCGGGGGAACUGAAACAUCUAAGUACCCCGAGGAAAAGAAAUCAACCGAGAUUCCCCCAGUAGCGGCGAGCGAACGGGGAGGAGCCCAGAGCCUGAAUCAGUGUGUGUGUUAGUGGAAGCGUCUGGAAAGGCGCGCGAUACAGGGUGACAGCCCCGUACACAAAAAUGCACAUAUUGUGAGCUCGAUGAGUAGGGCGGGACACGUGGUAUCCUGUCUGAAUAUGGGGGGACCAUCCUCCAAGGCUAAAUACUCCUGACUGACCGAUAGUGAACCAGUACCGUGAGGGAAAGGCGAAAAGAACCCCGGCGAGGGGAGUGAAAAAGAACCUGAAACCGUGUACGUACAAGCAGUGGGAGCCUCUUUAUGGGGUGACUGCGUACCUUUUGUAUAAUGGGUCAGCGACUUAUAUUCUGUAGCAAGGUUAACCGAAUAGGGGAGCCGAAGGGAAACCGAGUCUUAACUGGGCGUUAAGUUGCAGGGUAUAGACCCGAAACCCGGUGAUCUAGCCAUGGGCAGGUUGAAGGUUGGGUAACACUAACUGGAGGACCGAACCGACUAAUGUUGAAAAAUUAGCGGAUGACUUGUGGCUGGGGGUGAAAGGCCAAUCAAACCGGGAGAUAGCUGGUUCUCCCCGAAAGCUAUUUAGGUAGCGCCUCGUGAAUUCAUCUCCGGGGGUAGAGCACUGUUUCGGCAAGGGGGUCAUCCCGACUUACCAACCCGAUGCAAACUGCGAAUACCGGAGAAUGUUAUCACGGGAGACACACGGCGGGUGCUAACGUCCGUCGUGAAGAGGGAAACAACCCAGACCGCCAGCUAAGGUCCCAAAGUCAUGGUUAAGUGGGAAACGAUGUGGGAAGGCCCAGACAGCCAGGAUGUUGGCUUAGAAGCAGCCAUCAUUUAAAGAAAGCGUAAUAGCUCACUGGUCGAGUCGGCCUGCGCGGAAGAUGUAACGGGGCUAAACCAUGCACCGAAGCUGCGGCAGCGACACUAUGUGUUGUUGGGUAGGGGAGCGUUCUGUAAGCCUGUGAAGGUGGCCUGUGAGGGUUGCUGGAGGUAUCAGAAGUGCGAAUGCUGACAUAAGUAACGAUAAAGCGGGUGAAAAGCCCGCUCGCCGGAAGACCAAGGGUUCCUGUCCAACGUUAAUCGGGGCAGGGUGAGUCGACCCCUAAGGCGAGGCCGAAAGGCGUAGUCGAUGGGAAACAGGUUAAUAUUCCUGUACUUGGUGUUACUGCGAAGGGGGGACGGAGAAGGCUAUGUUGGCCGGGCGACGGUUGUCCCGGUUUAAGCGUGUAGGCUGGUUUUCCAGGCAAAUCCGGAAAACCAAGGCUGAGGCGUGAUGACGAGGCACUACGGUGCUGAAGCGACAAAUGCCCUGCUUCCAGGAAAAGCCUCUAAGCAUCAGGUAACAUCAAAUCGUACCCCAAACCGACACAGGUGGUCAGGUAGAGAAUACCAAGGCGCUUGAGAGAACUCGGGUGAAGGAACUAGGCAAAAUGGUGCCGUAACUUCGGGAGAAGGCACGCUGAUAUGUAGGUGAAGCGACUUGCUCGUGGAGCUGAAAUCAGUCGAAGAUACCAGCUGGCUGCAACUGUUUAUUAAAAACACAGCACUGUGCAAACACGAAAGUGGACGUAUACGGUGUGACGCCUGCCCGGUGCCGGAAGGUUAAUUGAUGGGGUUAGCGGUAACGCGAAGCUCUUGAUCGAAGCCCCGGUAAACGGCGGCCGUAACUAUAACGGUCCUAAGGUAGCGAAAUUCCUUGUCGGGUAAGUUCCGACCUGCACGAAUGGCGUAAUGAUGGCCAGGCUGUCUCCACCCGAGACUCAGUGAAAUUGAACUCGCUGUGAAGAUGCAGUGUACCCGCGGCAAGACGGAAAGACCCCGUGAACCUUUACUAUAGCUUGACACUGAACAUUGAGCCUUGAUGUGUAGGAUAGGUGGGAGGCUUUGAAGUGUGGACGCCAGUCUGCAUGGAGCCGACCUUGAAAUACCACCCUUUAAUGUUUGAUGUUCUAACGUUGGCCCGUAAUCCGGGUUGCGGACAGUGUCUGGUGGGUAGUUUGACUGGGGCGGUCUCCUCCUAAAGAGUAACGGAGGAGCACGAAGGUUGGCUAAUCCUGGUCGGACAUCAGGAGGUUAGUGCAAUGGCAUAAGCCAGCUUGACUGCGAGCGUGACGGCGCGAGCAGGUGCGAAAGCAGGUCAUAGUGAUCCGGUGGUUCUGAAUGGAAGGGCCAUCGCUCAACGGAUAAAAGGUACUCCGGGGAUAACAGGCUGAUACCGCCCAAGAGUUCAUAUCGACGGCGGUGUUUGGCACCUCGAUGUCGGCUCAUCACAUCCUGGGGCUGAAGUAGGUCCCAAGGGUAUGGCUGUUCGCCAUUUAAAGUGGUACGCGAGCUGGGUUUAGAACGUCGUGAGACAGUUCGGUCCCUAUCUGCCGUGGGCGCUGGAGAACUGAGGGGGCUGCUCCUAGUACGAGAGGACCGGAGUGGACGCAUCACUGGUGUUCGGGUUGUCAUGCCAAUGGCACUGCCCGGUAGCUAAAUGCGGAAGAGAUAAGUGCUGAAAGCAUCUAAGCACGAAACUUGCCCCGAGAUGAGUUCUCCCUGAGACUUAGAGUCUCCUGAAGGAACGUUGAAGACGACGACGUUGAUAGGCCGGGUGUGUAAGCGCAGCGAUGCGUUGAGCUAACCGGUACUAAUGAACCGUGAGGCUUAACCUU
rnacentral:rRNA from 1 species